GACAGAGGAUGCAAGUGUUAUCCGGAAUCACUGGGCGUAAAGCGUCUGUAGGUGGUUUAAUAAGUCAACUGUUAAAUCUUGAGGCUCAACUUCAAAAUCGCAGUCGAAACUAUUAGACUAGAGUAUAGUAGGGGUAAAGGGAAUUUCCAGUGGAGCGGUGAAAUGCGUAGAGAUUGGAAAGAACACCGAUGGCGAAGGCACUUUACUGGGCUAUUACUAACACUCAGAGACGAAAGCUAGGGUAGCAAAUGGG
rnacentral:rRNA from 1 species